rnacentral:piRNA from 1 species
UGCCUCUAUGGAAAAGGAGUAGAGCCGGUGU